UAGAUACCCUGGUAGUCCACGCCGUAAACGAUGUCAACUAGCCGUUGGGUUCCUUGAGAACUUAGUGGCGCAGCUAACGCAUUAAGUUGACCGCCUGGGGAGUACGGCCGCAAGGUUAAAACUCAAAUGAAUUGACGGGGGCCCGCACAAGCGGUGGAGCAUGUGGUUUAAUUCGAAGCAACGCGAAGAACCUUACCUGGCCUUGACAUGCUGAGAACUUUCCAGAGAUGGAUUGGUGCCUUCGGGUAAC
rnacentral:rRNA from 1 species